CGAAGGAUCGGAUGGAUCCGGAGGAUCGGAUGGAUUCUUCGGAUCCAUCCGAUCCAUUGGAUCCAUCCGAUCCUUCG